ACUGUGGCUUAGUUGGUAGAGCAGCUGAUUCGUAAUCAGCAGGUCACCGGUUCGAGUCCGGUCAGU
rnacentral:tRNA from 1 species